AUGUUAUUCCUCUCCGAUCAAGAUGGCACCGCGAGCCAACUCUCCAUCUCCGAUGAUCUCCUUCCAUUCCGAAUCUUUCUUCUACUCAAACUCUCACUCCCAAGCUCAAGCUUCGCCAUCGUCUUCGAAGCUCUGUCCAAACGAUUCCUCAGCGCCGUGAGUAUGAGGCACAAAUCUCUUCUAUCUCAAUCGUCGAUGUCAUCUCUCAUGCCACAACGUCGAUGUCGCCGCUCAACUUCUCCCCGUACUCAACAUAAGCUCACCAUUCAACCUCCUCCUUCGUUCAAAUUCGCGUUUUUAUGA